rnacentral:rRNA from 1 species
GACGAACGCUGGCGGCGUGCUUAACACAUGCAAGUCGAACGGUGAAAGGGAGCUUGCUCCCUGGAUCAGUGGCGAACGGGUGAGUAACACGUGGGCAACCUGCCCCAGACUUCGGGAUAACGCUUCGAAAGGAGUGCUAAUACCGGAUACGAACUCCUUGGGCAUCCUUGGGGUUGGAAAGUUUUUCGGUCUGGGAUGGGCCCGCGGCCUAUCAGCUUGUUGGUGAGGUAACGGCUCACCAAGGCGACGACGGGUAGCCGGCCUGAGAGGGCGACCGGCCACACUGGGACUGAGACACGGCCCAGACUCCUACGGGAGGCAGCAGUGGGGAAUAUUGCGCAAUGGGCGAAAGCCUGACGCAGCAACGCCGCGUGAGGGAUGACGGCCUUCGGGUUGUAAACCUCUUUCAGCAGGGAAGAAGCGAAAGUGACGGUACCUGCAGAAGAAGCACCGGCUAACUACGUGCCAGCAGCCGCGGUAAUAC